rnacentral:rRNA from 1 species
GAAUGAUGAAGAAGCUUGCUUCUUCUGAUUUUAGCGGCGGACGGGUGAGUAACACGUGGGCAACCUACCUUGUAGAUUGGGAUAACUCCGGGAAACCGGGGCUAAUACCGAAUAAUCCAUUUUGCUUCAUGGCGAGAUGUUGAAAGACGGUUUCGGCUGUCACUACAAGAUGGGCCCGCGGCGCAUUAGCUAGUUGGUAGGGUAAUGGCCUACCAAGGCGACGAUGCGUAGCCGACCUGAGAGGGUGAUCGGCCACACUGGGACUGAGACACGGCCCAGACUCCUACGGGAGGCAGCAGUAGGGAAUCUUCCGCAAUGGACGAAAGUCUGACGGAGCAACGCCGCGUGAGUGAAGAAGGUUUUCGGAUCGUAAAACUCUGUUGUAAGGGAAGAACACGUACGAGAGUAACUGCUCGUACCUUGACGGUACCUUAUUAGAAAGCCACGGCUAACUACGUG